GUCAUAAUAAAGUGCCAGUCAAGGGACUUGAACUCUUGCCUCUUUUCCAGAAUACCAAGCUGCCAGUGAAAAAAUAUGACUGAGGUGUGAGGCUCUUUACCUAAAGUUCAGCAGAAAGAAGACGACACUGUGAAUUCAUGAAAGGAGAUUAACUACUGACAGUGAUUGUAAUAACCACAUUUGUAGAGACAUACCAGCUAGAAUCAGAGGUCUCAGAGCAAAAUAACCAGAGUAUUCAGAUACACUUCUUACCAGUCAUCUGUGUAGACCAAAGGAAGGGCAAGAGAGAUCAUAAGCCCUGAAACAAAUGAAGUACAAACUGACAUUACGUGACAAAGGAAAGCAGAAACUGUGUCUUAAUUGUGAUGUUGAACUAGUCUACAGGUGUAAGAUUUGGUGCACUGAUACAACAUCUGUUCAGAAAGCUGCCUUUAACAGGAUAGUGGAUGAAGGGUGAGAUGCUCUGACUGAAUACCUGCUCAUGCAGUCAUGUAUUUGUGGCAACUUCAAUGGGAAGAAUUAUGGAGUAUUAUACUAGUACUCAGCUUUAAAAAAAAAACCAACCAAACAAAAAACAAACAACCAAAAAUAAAAGAAAAAGCCUGAAGAUUAUGGAAUUUAUUUGUUUUACUUGUCUUUACAGCCCAAGAUUUGGGUCUGGGAUAAAACUCACUCCUUGAGUUAUGGCCUGACUCAAUGAGCAAUCUGUGAUGAGGAUGGGGAGAGGAAUGAUGGGAAGAAGUAAGAGAUCAGAGUGAGUUUCUGUAUAUGUGUGAAAUCCCAAAAUGCUUCCAUUUGAUGUUUCAACUUCCUGUUUCAAAAUGAAGUCUCACCCCCAAAUCUGGUUACGUUAAAAAAAACCAAAAACCCAAUAACUGAAAUAAACACCCCUACCCAAAAAGGGCCAACAAGAAGGAAACAAACCAAAACUUUAUAUUUUUACCUCCAAUAGACAAUGUUUAUUUGACUGAGAAUUAUGAUUUGAGGGGAUGAGAUUAAUAUAAGUAAGAAAUUCUUUCCUUUUAUGGGCCUUAAAUACUAAUGUUUUUUCCUUGGUUUUUGGUGCACCGGACAUAUCAAGACAAUCAGUUAUUUGCACAGCUUUGCCUUCUAAAAUAAUUUUGUAAUCUUAAUCCUAGAAGCUCUUUCUUCCUUAAUAGCAGUGUAGUUAAGUAAAUUGUAUCAUUUACUGUGGAUAUAAAUCAAUGUAGCUACAUUGCUUAGUUUUGAAGGAAUUAGAAGUGUAAUCGGAUUAAACUGUCUUGAGUACUCUGGCCUUCAGAUGAGAUGCAGAGCAUGUGAGGGGCAAAGGUCCUGGGUUUUGGUCAGAAACAGCAUUUCAUUACACUAUCCUUAAUAAGACCAUAAAAUUUAGAACUGCUUUGGGUAGCAAUGAUAAAAUAAAAAGAUGGAAUCUGGAAGUUCUUGCAAGUUCUUUAUAUAAUAAAGACACAGACUAGCUUGGUUAUGAAGUACUGCACAAAGCUAGCUAGAUAGUUGUAUGUAUCACUGUUCUAGCAACAAAGUGAUAUUUCAGAAUGAGUGUUCCAUAAACUCUUUUCUGCUAAAUAAUCUAUAAAACAAUAUUAAACGUGAUUUUGUUUGUAAUGUCAGUAGUUUUCAUAGCAAGUUGUGUCACAUAAAUGAAACAUUCAGCUUGAAGUCUGAGGCAUGAGGGAAAUACUUUCUUUGCUUCAGGCUGUCAUUGAUGUAAUUGUUGAAACGAUAAAUUGUUAUGAAACUAUAUCAAUUUAUAUAGACACAAAAUCUUAGAAUUUCUGUUGGCAGUUUUAUCCACCUGAGAAAUAGUAUUGAAAAUUGUUGCCUUAAGACAAUUUCUGCAUAGAGUCAUCUCAUCAUGCUAACUCUAACUGCUUUAAUAUUUUUGGAUGGGAAGAAAAAAAAUAAUCAUUUUUCACAGAGGCAGUCUAGAAAACAGCUUAUAGAGAACCAAUGUGUCUCCACUGUCCACUUGUUGUAUCAUUGCUUGGAGUCCAGCCUGGUGCUGAAUUAGCAUUAAUAAAGAGUAAUGGCUCUGUUUUCCCCAAUUUGUCUCCAGAUCUGUCCAUGUAUCCAGAGGUGGCCUGCCUACUGUCUUGCCCCCAUACAUGAUCUCUCAAGCAAUUAGAAUAAUGCUCCAAAGUGACUGAGACAGUGAUCUAGCCUUUCUCUUUCUCCUGUACUUGCUGUU